AGUUUAUUAGUUGUUUUAUUAAUUUAGUUGACAUAUUAGUUGGUUUUGUAUUCGCCAACAUAUUUUAUUGGUCACUACUGCAAAUUAUAAUGUAUAAAAUUUUAUAUUUAUGCGUACAACAAAUUAUGAUUUUUUCUCUUGUAUAUUUUGAUAUCCAUAAUGUAUAUGUUUCUUGUAAAAUUUAUAAUAAAUAUGUAUAUAUAUAUUUAUGGAUGGUGCAGUCGUGGAUGAGAGAUAUGUGGACUUGUGGACGAAGUUUCGUGGACGAAAUCUCGUGGACAUGAUUUUUAAUCUUACAAGAGGUUUCGUAGACGAGAUUUCGUGGACGGAGUCUUGUGGAUGGUUUUAGUGGGUUAAGUUCAUCAUUUUCAUGAAAAGAUGAUCAAGCUUUUCUUUCAUAUAUAGUAAAUUCAUCAUCAAAAUGACAAUAACUAAUUUCAAAUGGACCAAAAAAUUGUAACUAAAGUUUUUUUAAAAGAGUUUCACGGAUUUGACUGUGUGAAUGAGGUUUGUGACCGAAGUUUCAUCAACAAAGUUUCCAAACGUAUCAACCUAUGUAUCCACUACCACCUUCGUAUCCAUAACCACCACAACCUCCACUCUGGUAUCCACAACCACAGCUUCCUCCACCGAACCACCACCAACUCCACCUUUCGAAUAACCACAUCCACCACCAUUGUAUCCACGAGUCUCUUGUAUCUACCCUCACGUUUUCCAUCUCCGUAACCACCUCCUCCUCCAUAACCACCACAGCCUCCACUGGAUCUAUCUUCUUUAUCAUCAAAGAGAUUGAAGUGACUAAUAACUCAGAAGUCUUAAGAACUACUUGCUGUGGCGGCUUCUACGGUGGCAGAAGCAGCGGCGAUGGCAUCCUCCAUGUUCUCACAAAACUUGAUUGAACCGGUUCUUUUCUUUGCUUGCUUGAUUCUUCAGCAUAUGUUAAACCAGAUUAGAUAAUCUGGAAACAAGAACUGAUGAUGAUGAUGAUUCCAGAAGAAGAAACAAACAUUCAUCAGAGCUAGAGUCGUGGUUUUCCUUUCCAACAUCGUCGCUUUCAGAUUGGUCUUCAAUUUCGGAUUCGUCUUUAGUAUCAGCAUCCACUUCCUCAUCAUCGGCUUUGCCCAUAAUCUCUGUGUAAUCAAAUUAUCCAACACGUUUUUGUUCAUAACAGAACCAUAUUCGAGUGUGAUUAUUAAUUGUAAAAUUUAGAAGAAAUUUAGAAUGUGAUUCAAGUGGGGUUAGGGAUUAGAAAGAUAAAACUGAGAAAGAGUUUUUGUUUUACAUUUAAAAUUCUGGGUUUUAACGAUGAUACAAAAAAAAAAAAAUAUAAUUUAAAAAAAAAAAACCAAAAAACAAAGAAAAAAGAGGUUUUGACUUAGUUUAAGGGCAAAAGAGACAUCGCAUACACUAAAAGUGUGUCUCUAGCAACAAGUGUUCUUUUGUGUAAUUGGAAACUGAAAAUGUGUCUCUAAAGGUAAUUUUUUCAGAUAUAUAUAUACAAUUGACUAAUCAUGUAAACCAAAUAAAAUCAUUGUGAGAUCUUGGGCCCGGUCCAAAAGGAAAUCCAUUUGUUCGAGGUGCAAAAGGAGAAAAAUAUAGUUAGUUCCCCUCCCAUUCCUUAUAAAAGAAAGAGUCCCCUUAGAUUAGAAUCACAAGAGACACAACAAGCGAAGCCCUGCCCGAGCAAAGCCCUGUCGUCGCCUCACCAUUGCCGACCAGCUACCUCCGACGCCCUAAGCCGCCGGCCGCCAUCACCGGAGUCUGAGCCGCCGAUCUUGUAACCCUAGUCGUCGUUUUUUCAUCAGCUGCGUGUAACCAGAUCAGAUCUCAGCCCUAAGGUAAGGUUCAUAUCUUCUUAUUCCAUCUUUCUCUUAUCAUUGGGUAUGCCAGAUCUGAUUUUCUGACCGCCUGUUCUUCCUUUCUAGAUCCAUAUCUGUACCGUCAAGUCAAACUAAGGUGAUGACCCGACCGUUAACUCUUCUCAUGUCAUGCAAGCCUUCAAGGACAGUCCCUUGUUAAAUAAAGUCUAGGUGUAGUUAGGAUCUAUUUGUAUAUGUUUAUUUGCUUGAUUAAACUGUUAGAUAUACUUGUUGACUUGUAGUGAUGUGAUAAAAACAUAUAGAUCUGUUAGGUUGAUAAAUGAUAAACUGGUUGUGUGAGAUGCGAUGAUGAGAUGCAUGUGGCGUGUGAAUGAAUGAGACCAUGUGAAUGGGUAACAGAGAAUGAUUGAUGUGUGUUUAUGUAACACCAAGACACGGGUGUGGUCAUAUGUGGAUAUGGAGAAAUGUGGAAUGUGGCGCCGACAUGAUCGAGUCAUGCCGAGCCUAGGCAUAAGUAACUAUGGGACUGGAGAACGGACCGUGCCUUACUGUUCCAAAGAGUUUGUGACCGGGUAGUCACAUAGGAGCUAUGGAUCGUAGCCCAGUUUGGGCCCCCAUAAGAAAUGCAACGAAGGGGGUACAUGAUGGCUCCCCCGGGGGUGUGGAAUAGGUCCUAGAGGUAUAGGUUGUUUGUGGCAUGCUAGUCUUUAUUAGCUUGUGACUGUGAUGAAUGUAUGCUUGUCCUGAUAUGAGUUUUUUGGUUCCUAGAACUUACCCUCGCUGAGUAAUCUCAAUACUCACCCCCUCUCUUUUGUAGGUACAAACGAGGAAGUCGAGGAGUAGGAGUUCGGUGGUGCCAUAUUUUGAGUUUAUGGUUUAUUUUUAAGUUAUUCAUGAAUUCAAACACUAUUUCUUCGCGUUUCUGGUUUUCGUUUAAGAUUACAUUAAUGUAAGAUAAUAGUUUUAAUGGAAUAAAGAAAGUUUUGGACUCAUUGGAAUGUGGUGGAGGAAUAAGUAUGAUCUUGGGGGACGCGGUCCUUACAAUCAUAGUACCAAUAAACUAAAUUAACUAAACAAGACUCUAUACAUUGACAUUUCCUCUCAAGAUGAAUGUGUGUAAAUAUUGAUAACACCCAUCUCGCUUAUGUUAUCCUGAAAUAGAGCUUGGUAUGAUAUCUUAGUCAAAACGUCAGCUAGUUGAUGAUCCGUACGCACAUACAUUGUUUUCAACGUGCUAAGUUCUAUAGCAUCUCUCACCUUAUGGCAAUCAAACUCCACAUGUUUGGUUCUUUCAUGAAAAACAGAGUUACUAGCAAUGUGGAGAGCUGCAGUGUUAUCGCACAAUAGAGGAAAUAUGGAGAAAAAAAAGGAACCCAUAGAGAUUUAAGAAUCCCAUUGAUCCAAAUAAUCUCUUCAGUAGCCAUACACAUAGCAAGAUAUUCAACUUCAUCAUAACACAAAGACACCAUAUCAUGUUUCUUUGAUUUCCAAGAGAUCAAAUAAUUAGGAGGAAACAUUGUGUAUCAUGUGACUGAUCUUCUAUAAUCCGGACAACCUCCCCAAUCAGAACCAGAAAAUCCUCGCAAGUCAAAAACAUCACCGACUCCAUAAAAAAACCUUAUCCUAUAGUACCCUUUAAGUACAUCAAGACUUUAUGAACAUCCUUCAGAUGAACAUCAUGAAGAGCCGAAGAAUAUUGAGCUAGCUUGGAGACAGCAAAAACGAUAUCUUGUCUAAUUAUAGUAAGAUACUGAAGCUUCCCAACUAAUCUGCGAUAUUGCUUCAUAUUUUUCAAUAGCAACUCCAUCAUCUUUAGACAGUUUCUAUAUAACUCUCUCUUAUGCGUAACAUGAUUACUAGCCCCUGAGUCUAUAAUUCAAGCUUUAAGAAACAACUCAGUUUCUUGAUAUACAUAAAAAGUCAGCAUAUCCCAGUAAGACUAAUUAUAAAGAGUCAGGAAAGUACAAGAUAUUUGAGAUAUAACGGGUCCAUAUUGAAGUUUAAGCUAUAUUUUUCACAGGACAUGGAGUAACAUUAGAGGAAUGAAGCUUGGAACUAAAGACCGCAAUCAUUUGCGGAGUUGUUCCUUAGACAUACUGCUGCUCAACUAUCAAAACCUUGAUCAUUAUGAUUUUGAGACAAUCAUGUUGUUGCAGCCUAGUUUUCAUUACCAAUCAUGUUACUCUUCAUAGCAUGGGAUGUACAGGUGGAUAGCCAUGAACUUUCUAGAAUUUAUCAAAUGUAUGUCCAAUGCGCAACCAAUGUGAGCAUUUUUGGUUUCUGAAAACCACAUCAUGUGCCAAUAAUACAAGAUUUUGAUUCUGAUCAGCGAACUGAGUUUGAUUCUGAAGUGUUUUAGGAUGAGGUUUCAUCACUGGAUGACCUCCUAUCCCUUUUUGACUCUCAUCUUAAUCAAACAUAUUGUAAAAAUCAGUCGAUCCCGGUCCAUGCUUCAUGUUUAGUAUCUGACCACAAAAAUUAAUGAAAUUAUCAUUCAAUCCCAUCAGAAGUUGGAUAAUACAACUUGUCUCUGCAUCUUCAAAAAAUUCUUCUAUAAUCACAAUCAUAUUUCUUCACUGUACUCGACUUUGUGUUGGGUAAUUUCUCCCACGUAAUAUUUUUCUUUGUAAAGUAUGUAGACCAGUCAAGAACCAAACUUUGUAAAUACCUAAAAAGUUCCUAAAUUUCUAGAAAUAAAACACCAAAAAAUUAUAUUUAAAAACGAUUUGUUCCGUUUUAUAGAAAAAAAUGAGCAAUAUAAGCCUUCAAAAACCAAAACUCUUACAGGAAUGGAGGAUUGACAGUUACCUGAACUGAAACUGAAUGCUGAGGACAAAUAGUACAUUUACAUUUCAAAUAGUGCGAAGAAAGCAUUAUAUUUUUACAAAUUAGUUAACUUCUUUUAGUGAGGUACAUAUAUGGUUUAUUGACGAAUUAAGAUAUAAGCAGUGUUUUCAUAACCGGUAUGGAUCCGCGGUCGAUGGCGUGUUGAAUGAUUAUAUACCGUCACCUUGGCAUGUGCUUUUGGUUUAUUAAAUAAAAACCGGAUUAUAGAGUUCUAUUUGAACUUUACCUUGACAUGUUUUAAAUUUGGACAUAUUAAACAUGUUGUGUCUAAAUAUGCUUCUUAUAUAAUUUUAUAUAUGAUAACCAAUAUACUUAAAUUAAACCAACCUGCACUUUGAUUUCUCUUCUAUGUAUGUUGUUUAUUGAUUCGAUAGUUUUUCAUAUAUUCCUUCGUUUCUUAAAUUUGGUUUUUAGUCAAAUCAUGUGGUCUGAAAUAGUUUUCGGGGGAUUAGUUACUGGUUUGGACGUCUGUUCUGAGGGACUCUCUUUUGAGUAUUUAUUUAUUGCAGUUUUGAGGGUGAGAGACUGAUUAAUAUUUUCUUCAACAGAUACUUUUCAAAUAUAAGUUCUCAUGGUAAGAGUAGGAGAAAUAGACAUGGGCAACACGCCAUCGCUCAUGUGAUGAUUCUUCUCAUGCUAUUUUUUAAAUUCUUUGUAGGCAUUAUGUGCAUCAAGAAACUAAAGACUCAGUCAGUGUCUGAGUAAAAUGAUUCCAGUUCAUUUGACGAUUCAAAAUCUCACGGCGACAGAAGUGAAUAACUAUUAAGUAAAUGGAGAUGAUUUUUGUUUCUGAUUUUCAUUGGUAUAACAUGGAGAAAGUGGGUUUAGGAGGAUUGCAGAGUUAAGUUCAUUCCUAUCAAUUGGUUCGAAAUCCUAACUAACUAAUUUUGAAAAUAACACUUAAGUGUAUUAAGAUUAUUUUAGAGAUUCAAACUAAAUUAUAUUUAAAAGUUUAUAAUUCAAACCAAUGUAUACACUUUUUAAUGUACAUCAAAUAUAUGAUAUUAAUUGAGAUCUUUAAACAAGGUUGGGGUACAACCAUUUAAAUUUACAUUAUAGAAAGUUAUGAACAAUAUAACAACUUUGAGAAUAUUUUUUUGAGAUAUACCGAUUUCUUAAACAUAUUUAAAAUAUAAAGGAGAAUUUAAGUUUCAUAUACCUGAAAAAGUCAAUAUUAGGUAGAUACCAUUCCACUAUUACAAACACUGUUACACUUUCAAUAACCCAAAGUUACCCCUACUACGCUACACACCUAUAUAUCUCAGCUAAGAUAGAUUUGUUGUCAGUUCUUGUCUAUCAUAUCCAUACUUCACAACGAAAGCCUUUGAACAUAUCCAUUCUACACACCUAAUUAUUAUUUUAGGCCUUGAUUCACCAAAAUUUCGUCGUGCAGAGAUCUCUAAACAUUUCUUCUUUUAAUCUUUCGAUUCAGCAGCACAACAAAGAAGAGGUAGACACCAUAAACGGUGGAACAAUACACUUCCAACGACGAAUCCCCCACCAAAUCCUUUUCUUCCUCACCACCACCGCCUCCGGUAACAGAAAUCCCAACUAUUCACAUCGUGUUCACCACCGUCUCCGGUAACAGAAAUCCCAACCAUUCACAUCGUGUUCACCACCACCGUCUCCGAAAACAUAAAUCUCACCUACUAACACGUAUUCGCUGUCACUUGACCAGAUUUGUUUCUCGUAUCCAUCAUGUUUAAUGCGUCUCAGAGGGUAGAAAAAAAACAGCAUUUUUAUCAAUAUUACAAUAUUUUUUCACUUAAAAGCUAAUUGUUAUUUUGGAUUUAUGUAAGAAAACAGGAUUACAAUCUUUUUUCUCAAAAGAAUCUGACAAGGUGUUAAGGUUGGGGUAAAGUACAUCAUAGGCGAUGAGUCUAUGUCAACGGCGGUAAAAACUGACUCUGAUUGGUAGAUGAUGAACUUUCGGACAACAUGGUUCAACUUGUGUGAAUGCCAUGUUUUCAAGAAAGUGAGGGCCAAAUGGCCAUCGAUUUGACCUUGCGGAAUGAGUAAAAACAGAAAGAAAAGGAAAGAGGGAGACAAUCAUAGUGAACUAAAUAUUAUUCUUACAUUCGAACAAUUAUGGUGUCAAGUAUUAUAAUUACUUUCACAUUUUA